UUGCGGCCACAUCACGUUGAAACAUCAGUUCCUCUAAAGAUCACCGAAGUGAAGCAACGUUGAGCAUGGUCAGUACCUAGUUGGUGACCGCUUGAGAAUACCGGGUGU